GGAGUAUGGGCCGUGUCUCAGUCCCAUUGCGGCUGAUUGUCCUCUCAAACCAGCUACUGAUCAUCGUCUUGGUAAGCUCUUACCUCACCAACUAACUAAUCAGCUGCAGGCUCAUCCUUAAGCGAUAAAUCUUUCAAGAUAUAUAUCGCAAUAUAUCUCAUAUGCGGUAUUAGCAAAGGUUUCCCCUUGUUGUCCCCCUCUUAAGGGCAGAUUUCCUACAUUGUACUCGCCCGUCCGCCGCUUUCCUGAAUAGCAAGCUAUUCAUUCUCGCUCGACUUGCAUGUAUGAUGCACGCCGCCAGCGUUCAUC
rnacentral:rRNA from 1 species